rnacentral:rRNA from 1 species
CCUACGGGAGGCAGCAGUGGGGAAUAUUGCACAAUGGGCGCAAGCCUGAUGCAGCAAUACCGCGUGUGUGAAGAAGGCCCGAGGGUUGUAAAGCACUUUCAAUAGUGAAGAAAAGCUUAUGGUUAAUACCCAUGAGUCUUGACGUUAACUAUACAAGAAGCACCGGCUAACUCCGUGCCAGCAGCCGCGGUAAUACGGAGGGUGCAAGCGUUAAUCGGAAUUACUGGGCGUAAAGCGUGCGUAGGCGGUUUACUAAGUCAGAUGUGAAAGCCCCGGGCUUAACCUGGGAACUGCAUUUGAUACUGGUAGGCUAGAGUAUGAUAGAGGGGGGUAGAAUUCCUGGUGUAGCGGUGAAAUGCGUAGAUAUCAGGAGGAAUACCAGCGGCGAAGGCGGCCCCCUGGAUCAAUACUGACGCUGAGGUACGAAAGCGUGGGUAGCGAACAGGAUUAGAUACCCUGGUAGUCCACGCCGUAAACGAUGUCAACUAGCCGUUGGAGUCUUGAGACUUCGGUGGCGCAGCUAACGCGUGAAGUUGACCGCCUGGGGACUACGGCCGCAAGGCUAAAACUCAAAUGAAUUGACGGA